GAAGCUGAAGCCAGGCAAGAAAAGGCAAAGCAAGGGCAGGGAUUCUGCGCAGCCAGCCAAAAGGAAAAAGGCGUCGGAUCCCACUACUUGUCCUAGGCCCGCUGAAAAUCACGUAAGCAAUGGUCACGGUUCGAAAUCGAUGACAAACGACAGAGAAGUCCCAGAAACUAAUGAACCGUUACAAUCUACCGAUCCCUUGAAGAGCAAUCUCCAACUCCUGCCGAGCAAGCUUGACCUGAG
rnacentral:lncRNA from 1 species